UACGGAGGGUGCAAGCGUUAUCCGGAUUCACUGGGUUUAAAGGGUGCGUAGGCGGCGCGGAAAGUUGGGUGUGAAAUCCCUCGGCUCAACCGAGGAACUGCGCCCAAAACUACCGUGCUCGAGGGAGAUAGAGGUGAGCGGAACUUAGGGUGGAGCGGUGAAAUGCGUUGAUAUCCUAAGGAACACCGGUGGCGAAGGCGGGUCUCUGGGCCGUAACUGACGCUGAGGAGCGAAAGCGUGGGGAGCGAACAGG
rnacentral:rRNA from 1 species